AAGAGGGUGGGAGGGCGGUCGGCUCCGAAGACCCCGGCGGGUCCCGGCAGGUUUAAACCCCACUGCACCCCAGCCUUCCACCCAUAUGGUUGGAGCAGCAGUAGGGCUCGCCCCUGGUGCGGGACUCCAGCCCGAGUGGGGCCUGGGGGCUGCAAGUGGGAUGUGGGAGCGGACGCCAACUCGGGCCGGCCCUGAGCCUGGAUCCCAGGUGUGGAUUCCAGAGUGGAGGGGCUGACUUCUCUGCUGCCAGUAUGAGGACAAGGUCAGCAUGCCAGCCUCCUGCCUCAGGCAGCUGCUGAGCGAGCAGCUGUGUUGUAGACGUGUUCUAGAUGUGUUGUAGACAUGUUCCAGGCAGGGAAGGGAGGGGAUGUGCCAGGUGGGAAGCAUUCCAUGGCCCAUGCCCCGAGGAACAUUAAAUCCCAGUCCCGUGGCCUCAUUGUCCUCAUUGUCGCUGUUCAGAAUCUAAGUCCUUCACGAUGGCCUGCCCGGCUCACUGGGUCUUCUUCCAUCGAACCUCCUCUACCCAGUUCCUAUCACUGUUCAUUCCUCUCUGGCUUCACAGGCCCCUUGCUGUGCCCACCUCGACCUGUGAGGCUAGGGGUUCAUCUGUGUCCUUCACCUUAACAGACAACUAUUGCCACUACGACCCAAACGGGAGGACAGUGGACCUAGUGGGGCAGCACACAUAAGAGGUCCCGAAGGCAGCAGUGGCGGCUCAGACCUCAGCAGGGGAGGCCAGGUGCGGGCAGAGUCAGGGUAGGAAGGAGAGGACACGGGCGGCUUCAGAAACGUUCUCAGCAGAUGAGGGUGCGAUGGAGGACCUGGCCCUGAAGGAGUGUGAGAGACAAGAGGAAACACCCAAGCCCCGACCCCCCUCAGGCUGCAAAGGAGAUGGGAGCAGUGGCCUCCAGCGAUACAAGCCUUCAGAAAAUGUCUUUUUUUUUUUUUUUUGCGGUACGCGGGCCUCUCACUGUCGCGGCCUCUCCGGUCGCGGAGCACAGGCUCUGGAUGCGCAGGCUCAGCGGCCACAGCUCACGGGCCCAGCCGCUCUGUGGCACGCGGGACCCUCCCAGACCGGGGCACGAAACCGCACCCCCUGCAUCGGCAGGCGGACUCCCAACCACUGCACCACCAGGGAGGCCCAGAAAAUGUCUAUUUUGCUUUUCUCUCCAAAGACCUUGGCCUGUGAUUGUGGGAGCAUCUCGAAGAAUAAAUAGUGUGGCUGAGGACGCAGGUUUAAGAUGCCAGGGGUGGGCCCAUGUGGCCUGCCAAUAUGGCAAGCUCCCGACCAGGUCUGAGAGUCUUGGAGGCGGUGGGGAUGAGAAGGCCACACUGAAGGGAAGAAGCCGAGAGCUCAGGGCAAUCACAGACACAUGAAAGGAGCAGAGGAAAUUGAGCUCCCACAUGACUGGGCCUCCUGAGCGGGGAGGCAGGCCCCCACCCCCAGCCACCCAACACACACAGAGUUUUCGUUUUAUUUAUUUGCUUAUUUUUUGGCCGCACUGCACAGCUUGAGGGAUCCCAGUUCCCCGACCUGGGAUCAAACACGUGCCCCACCCCCGCAACUGAGAGCAUGGAAUCCUCACCACAGGACGGCCAGGGAAGCCCCUACAGUUUAUGUCAGCAGUCAGGAGGCUCAGCCCCUCCUCCCAGCUCAACCAGGGUCCCCAGCCUCUCUCCAACCUCCUGCCGUGCCAGCCACUGUCCACGGGGGAAGCCCAGUGUUCAGGUCUCCAAGCCCAGCCCUAUCCUAGUGGGUCUGGACUGUGCCAGGUGUGGGAUGCAGGGCCCAAGACUCAGGCACACACCUCAGUCUGCCAGGAGCUUCCCUCGGCCAGCCCGGGGUUAGACACCAAGGACAUCCCCAGGAAACAGGGUGGAGACCGAGGGAGGUCCCUGGCAAGGGACCUGCAGUGGAGGGUUUAGCCCUCCAGACGUGCUGAGAGGAAAUGGAGAGCCCUUUGGGCUGGGGGAGGGGCAGUGGCAGGAUCCCUAAUACACCAGAAAGGCCCUAGAAGGAAAGAAACAUCCAGAUAGACAUCAAGGACUGUCACUGAGGGGGUAGAGGUGGCGGUGGGGGGGGGGAAUAAUUGCUACUUCAAUUUGCUUUUAUAUUUGAAAGACAACGAACCUCCUACUAGCCCUGUGGCCUGAGGAAACUGUGGGGAGGAGGAGACCUAAACUGAAAUAACAAUCUUAACUGCACAACUACUGAUGUCGCUUCUCCAGGGUCCCUGCACCUAGGUCAAGUACCGGGCCCUUGGAUUAAUUUUCAAAAGUUAAAAAACCCAAAUAUGUGGAACCUGGAAAAGUGGUACAGAUGAACCGGUUUGCAGGGCAGAAAUAGAGACACAGAUGUAGAGAACAAACGUAUGGACA